UACGUAGGGUGCAAGCGUUAAUCGGAAUUACUGGGCGUAAAGCGUGCGCAGGCGGUUAUGUAAGACAGAUGUGAAAUCCCCGGGCUCAACCUGGGAACUGCAUUUGUGACUGCAUAGCUAGAGUACGGUAGAGGGGGAUGGAAUUCCGCGUGUAGCAGUGAAAUGCGUAGAUAUGCGGGAGGAACACCGAUGGCGAAGGCAAUCCCCUGGACCUGUACUGACGCUCAUGCACGAAAGGCGUGGGGAGCAACAGG
rnacentral:rRNA from 1 species